rnacentral:tRNA from 1 species
GAGCCCAUAGCUCAGCCCGGUUAGAGCACUGCUCUUAUAUGACAUUAUCUCGAAAGAGAUAAUUUUUCCUAGCAUAAAAAAGGAAAUGCUAAGAGAGGCAGGGGUCCACAGUUCAAAUCUGUGUGGGCUCA